AACCCUCAUACUGUACAGAAUCUGUGAUGUCCAGACGGUAUUCCUCUGGUGUUCUGCUUUGAAAACUUUUGGAUUUAGGGAUUAACAUAGUUGCCAUGUUUUCCUUUCUUCUCUUAUUUGUUGUGUGUGAUCAGGACAAUUUUGGAGAAGAUGGGCCUGCAGAGGAAAGUCACCCCCUUUGCAGGCCAGAAAGAAAUGGGAUGACUUAAAAAAAACAUACAAAGUAUGUAUGUGUGUUAUCAAGACAAUAAUUCUUAAGAACACAAGUUAAUAAAUGUUCAGUUACUAAGAGUUGUUAUGUUGUUUUUAUUUGUCUACUGUCAUUUUUGAUUUCCUCUGCCUUUAGGAUUGCAAGUAUCCAGGCUCAGGAGAGGGAGUCAGUGGGAAGCCCACUGCUGCUACUUGGCCCUGGUUUGCCCUCAUGGAUGAGGUGAUAGGACAGAUGCCUUCCAUUAGGCCUCCUGUCCUAAUUUCCUCUCUCCCUGAAGACACUCCAGGGCCAAGCACAGCAGUGGGUGACCAAAACGAAAGUGAUGAGGAAGGAAGUGAGCCACCCACAACAGGGAGAAAGAGGCGAAGGGAUAGAGAUGAUAAGCUGCUAGACCUCAGAGAGGACAUGAGGCAGCAAAGAGAGGCUGAGGAGAUGAGAGCAGGGAGAGGAUGGACAGACUGUUUUCACUUCUAGAAAGAUUAGGUCCAAAAUGAGUUAUGCAUUAAGAAAUGUAUUUAUUUGGAUAUAUUUGUUAUGUUGUUAUAUGUGUUGCAUUAGUGUAAAGCUUUUAUGUUAUUAAUAAAUUGAUUAAAAGAAACAGUCAUUGUCACUGAACUCAAUUUAUGGUAACAUGUAUGAACAUAACGCUAACUUUGAACAAUUUUAAAUGGAUAUUUACUUAAUGAAAAUAAAGUCAACAACAGUAACAAUUAAACAAGAACAUUUCUAAUACACCAACAAUAUUUAAAGAAGGAAAAACAAUAUUUACAGUUGUUCACACAGGAUUAACCUGAGUGAUCUGUUCCUGGACCGUUUCUUUAACAACUUUAAUAGAUUACAGGAAGUCUCUGGCAGUGUUGCUGAAUCUGCCGGAGCAAGAUCAGACAUGGAUGGGGUGCUGCAACUGAGACCUGCGGUUUGUCUUUUCUGGUCGGAGAAUCACGCAGGGUGGUCUGCAAAGAGAGCUUUGGGAUGCUUCCUCCCACUGUUCACUGCAUCGUCCAUCCACAGGGUUUGCAGGGAUGGCUCAAUCGACGGCUGCCACACCACUAAGAUGUUUUCAAAAAUAUGCAAGCAGGAGAUGGUGGAUGCUAUAUUUUUACUAGUAUAAUACUUGUAAUUCUGUAGCAGACAACAGUUUGAUAAAGUGCUAUGUAAAAAAAAGAAACCAAAAGAUUCGAUUCUAUAAGUUUCAAAGAGAUUUAGUUUACAUAUUUUAUAUAAUACAGUAAAUGUGAACGAAUGACCGGCAAUCAUUCCUAAAUGCGUGUAGAUUAAAGAAAAUUAGAAGGCUGUCUAAUUUCACAUCCGCUCACUUCUGGCCUACACUGCCAUUGAAAUACCCUCCUAAGUGACACAGGUAGGUAGAAUCCUUGAAGGAUCCUUCCCUGAAUUUGGACACAGCAACAGUCUGUGCUUUCCUCUGUUCCUUGUCAGUCCGUCUGUGUGAUCAUCCUCCACGUUGCCCCUGCGGUCCUUCUGCCUGUUUCCCUGUGUCUCUGUUUUCCAGCCUCUUGUGAUGUGCUUUUCUUAGCUUUUCCCAGUUCAGGUUUUUGCUAAGUUCUUUGUACUUCCAGUUGCCCUCCUGUUUCUUUGUUUGUCUUCUCAGCCAUAAUGGUUUCUUUGUCCAGCUUCGUUCCACAGUUUAAAGACAUGCAAUUAGUGGGGCUAGGUUAAUUGGAGAAUCUAAAAUGCCCAUAGAGCUGACUGUGAGUGUGAAUGAUUUUCUGUAUGUGUUAGCCCUGCGUCAGGCUGGCGAGCUGUCCACAGUGUACCCUGAUAGGCUCCAGCAACCCUGACAGGGAUAAGUGGAAGAGAAUGGAUGGAUGUUGUUGUUGUUAGAGUCCCAGGAUUCUCUUUCUUAGGUUUCAGUUGGUGGACAGCAAACAUCCUGAAGUGAUCAGAGCUCUUCUGAAGAUAAUAUUCCUGUAGACGUGAAACACAGGUCAUAUUGCAUUUUAAACUUGUGGCUAGGUGUAGUGGCUUUCCUAAAUCUCUAAAAAAUACCGCCAAUGAGUUGAAGGCAUAGCAACUUCUAUGUAUAUAAAACAAAAUGUAACUCAGUUUUAAGAUGUUUACUUGAGAAUUAUCAAGAAAAAAUAACAUAUUGCUGCUCUCUGCCUGUCUGCACUACACAUGAUGUCAUUUACUAUAUUAAAGUAACAUUAGAGGACUAAUAUUAACAAAUAGUCAAAUACACAUACACUUAUCAUGAUUUUCUUAUUUGAGAACUAGAAAUUAAUUAUUUAUGCAUGUAUUUAUUUUUUGUGCUACAGUUAAUGCAAGCCGGAAUUUAAAAGGUAUACAUCUUAUCUUGUGUCUGAAUUGUUCUGUUCUGUCUGGUUUGUACUGGUUUUGGUUUUUUUUUUUGCAAUUUUGCACCAUGGUCUUGGAGGAACAUUGUCUUGUUUCACUGUCUACUGUACCACUGCACAUGGUUGGGAUGACAAUAAAGCCACUUGACUUGACUUGACUUGUCUAAAGGGCUUAUACGUAAGGUCGCUAAGACAAGAUUGAAUCUGAUUAUUCAAUGCUUUAUAUGCAAAUAGUUACUGAACACUAAACUGUCAUCACUAAACAACUAAAUCACCUUUAUAUCGAAUUUAAAUUGAUUUGAUUUGAAUGGAAUUAUAUUAACAAUUAUGUUAGUU
ensembl:lncRNA